GGAGCAAUUCGCUAUAAGAUGGACCCGCGUCGCAUUAGCUAGUUGGUGAGGUAAUGGCUCACCAAGGCGACGAUGCGUAGCCGACCUGAGAGGGUGAUCGGCCACAUUGGGACUGAGACACGGCCCAGACUCCUACGGGAGGCAGCAUG
rnacentral:rRNA from 1 species